rnacentral:lncRNA from 1 species
CGCAACAACAAAAAAAAACAACAUACCCGUCAGCUACUUUAUUUCCCCGGCUCAGUUGCUUAUCGUGAACUUGCACUAAAACCAGUGCACAUGUAGCCCGCCUGAUUUGACCGACUCAGUGUGUUGACUCUAUAUUUUGUGAAUGGCCGGCCCGCUAUAAUAACACCCCUCAUCAAUGCACAGUUGUGGUCAACCUCGGAACGUUUCGGCUUAGGUAAAGUAACGAUUUCUGAUGGAAGAUUCCAAAGUGGGACAGAUUGAUGUGGUGGUCUAUGUCUGCCAAACUAUCCACCGGCGGAUUGAAAAAGAGGACUUUUUAUCAUUUCCGGCUCAUGUUCGGAAAUUCUAACCCAAGAAUGAAUUCCGCUCCGGACUUCACUAGCUCUUUAGGGAAUUGCAUCGCGAGUUAAAGUCGGGGUACGAAAGACUCGGGUUCUUGGGUUAUGGAAAGAUGGACCCUCCUCAUAACCGAACCUUUGGUCUGGCGCAUCAACAUCAGAUUUGGCCCACCACCCACCCCGUGGGUGCAGCCGAUGCACCCAAAUCCUUAUGACCCCACCCGCAUUGAGGCACAACCUUUUCUGUAGUGCCAUGCGAUUGUGUCGCCGAGUCAAGCCCAAGAGGGGACCGGCGUGUAGGCAACAUAUAGGGCCAAUGGAUAAAGUCGGUUGAAGAGAAGGAUACGAUACUAGAGAGAGACCUCAAGCACAAAACGAUUAGCGAUUUAACGAGAGUAAAAGGAAGAGGAACAUACACUUUUUUUUUUUGUUGAUGGGAAAUUGUUCUUCGGAAGUAGGGAGUGGCUGAGGGUGGUGGAGACGUUGUUGACAUGCCAAGAACAUCUUGUUCGCCAGCGAUAUCGCUGCCAACGCAAUAGACAUUUGAGUAAUAAAUAUUAUUUACGAUAUGGAAAGAGUCAUACUAUCAGGUCGAUACAAGACAUAGUUAGUUGUAUGCAGCAUUUAAUGUGUGUACCUUCUGUCACAUCGGUGAUGGACCAUCCAACAAAUACCCGAGCUUUUUUUUCUUGUUUCUUGUGUGAACUCAUCUCACAACCAUCAUAUCCGACUCAUUGAGUGAGUAGUGUUAUGCAUACACACUCCUAAGGAAACAUUUGUGUGAAUGAACGGAUAUGAAGUAAAGUACAAACAUGACAGUUUGCAGUCUUCGUGGAAAAAAUAAAAGUGCAAUUAACAAUAUUGAAAUUUCCAAACCUAACAUUUACGCACUCGUUUCACAAGUUCAUGUAAGAACAAAAAGUACAUUGUCGUUCAGACAUGCCAAUCAUGAAUGCUAAACUAAUAGGCAUGACCAACAUGGUUGAUGAUAUCUAAUAAGAUCAAGUGUAAUAUAUGUUUUUACCGGUCUAAUUCUAUGUGGAGAUAUUGUUUAGUAAUUAAUAAAAUUUAAGUUAGUAACAAGGCAAUAACAUAGUUCUAAUUUUGGUAAAGCUUUGUCCAUCUCCGAUUGUGCAAUAACAUAGGACAAUGAUGCUUUUCCCCAAGUUUCAAGUGAAGCAUUUAGAUAGAUGGGCAUUAAUGACCGCCAAACUCUAAAAAGUCAUCAUGAACCAUAUUGGCUAUUUUACCUUGUCAAUAGAGUCGACGAUAUGAUUCAUAAACUAAGACAUACAAUGUCUACAACACAACUUCUCAGCUGCCUAAAUAAUCACUGAAAAAUAUGAUAAUAACAUUGCACCAAUCUGAAGUUUCAGCAUACUUUUUCGCUCUAUACCAGAAUAUUUUGUUAAAAAGGAUUGCAGCUAUAUGUCAAAAUUGAUGUAAUGCCGCAUACUGAUGUAGAUAGAAUGUUAAACCACACAAGGGCAAGACCAUGGCUGACUAUAUCUUUGUCUAUGUAAAUUUAGAUUUCUACUAACAAUCGAUCCAAAACAAACAACUAUACUGUACUACAUAUUCACUAAUGUGAAUGUAGACUUUAUUAGAAAGUAAAAAUAGACCCAAAGCAGACAACCAUACUGUGUCAUCUUUGAGAAACCAUUUUAGCUCAGACAAUAUGAUUGAUAUCAAUGGGACCGAUCACAUCACUUGACCUUCAAACAGAAUGCAUACACAUUAACGAACUCCAACUCUGCAAAUGCAUAUAUGAAAGAAUUUCCAAGCCCAAAAUAUCCCAAAAAAGGAUGAUUACACACAAGGCUUCCAUUAAUACAAUGUCUUGCAUAUGCAGCUUUACUGAGAUUGUUUUCACAUAAGGCAUCAUGCCCAAUUCGAGGAUAAAGUCAAGAAGAAUGUGGACAACGAACAAACCCCGACAAUGGCAUCGAUCAAAUAUCCAGCUUCUCCACCUUCGUUCAACUUUCUAUCUCUGGUUUCAUCGGCACAACUCAUUAAUUGAUUGGAUCUUUGUUUGACUCAUUUAUGAAUCAUGGAUCAAAUAGAUCUUGGUUAGAUCUGCCCAUGCAUUGAAGGAUUUGGACAGUCAAGAUUUUCAUUGUGGUUGGCUUAGGAUUCUCGGAUUGCCCAAUGGAUUUCUUGUUGUAAUAGUAUAGUGUUCUUUGGCCUCUUCUAAAAAUAACUUUCCGUAGUAUCAUCAUACAUUUCGAAGAUACAGACAGAGAAACUACAUGUGUUCAUGUGCACCCGCAUGCUUUUCUAGAAAAGUGAGGCCCAUGUGAAUUUGAUCAUCAAAUAGAAAUCAUAGGCUACCAACAUUUCAUAAUUGUUUAGUGGAUUAUACAAUGGCAAAAUCGGCAGCCAUCGCACUGUGCUCGCAGAAUACUACCAUAUAAAAACAAUGAUCAACACCAAACUAAAAUUACAUGUAAAAGAAGAUCAGAUAAUAACACCCGGCUAUUACAUAUGAGGCAAACAAAAAAAACCCUAAUCCGGUCAUACCCUAACCUUAACCGUCCAAACCUCAUCAUAAGUAAACAGAUGAACCAGGAUCAUUGAUCCAUCCUAUAAUGUGUCUCGAUUUGAUGGAACAUGGUCGAAGCCAUGCGGAACUAAUGAUCGAUGCUCAACGAAAAUCUAUUUGUAAAAAUAGAUCAAGAAACACCUUCCUGAUCUAUCAUGAAAACCAUGAACAAGUCUAACCAAGAGCGAUACGAGCAGAGGAAGGAGGAUAAGAACCUGAUGGUCACGGCUCCCUUGUUGGAUGGCGGCUCUCGACUCAAAACCCAUCGAUAAACAAGCCAGGGAUCGAGGAUGAAUCGAGGGCGACGCCAGUGGAUCCAACCCUCGGGACCUGCUCUUGGCGGUGUUCUUUCUCGGGACGAAAUGGAGACUGCUGUCUCCCUCUCCCGAGAAUACACGAAGAAUCCCCCGUUCGAUGAAAUAAAGGAUCGA